GCCCUGGUAGCUCAGCGGAUAGAUCGCCUGACUACGGAUCAGGAGGCCGCAGGUUCGAAUCCUGUCCAGGGCU
rnacentral:tRNA from 2 species